rnacentral:tRNA from 1 species
UUAAAAAUAGUUUAUUUAAAACAUUAAUUUUGGAUAUUAAAAAUAAUUAUUUUAAUUUUUUUAAA